UAUAAGUAUAACCUGCCAGACAGGGAAACUGCGUACGGCUCAUUACACCAGCUGUAAUUUACUUGACCUUGACAACCUACUUGGAUAACUGUGGUAAUUCUAGAGCUAAUACAUGCACCAAAGCUCCGAUCCUCGCGGAGAGGAGCGCAUUUGUUCGCCACAAAACCAAGCGCCUUCACAGGCGUUCAGUGUUGACUCAGAACAACUCAGCUGAUCGCACGGUCUCGUACCGGCGACGUGUCUUUCAAGUGUCUGCCUUAUCAACUUUCGAUGGUAGUGUACCUGACUACCAUGGUGAUGACGGGUAACGGAGGAUAAGGGUUCGACUCCGGAGAAGGGGCCUGAGAAAUGGCCACUACGUCUAAGGAUGGCAGCAGGCGCGCAAAUUACCCACUCUCAACAUGAGGAGGUAGUGA
rnacentral:rRNA from 1 species